CUUACCAAGGCGACGAUCAGUAGCCGACCUGAGAGGGCACCGGGGGGCCACAUUGGGACUGAGACACGGCCCAAACUCCUACGGGAGGCAGCAGUGGGGAAUAUUGCACAAUGGGGGAAACCCUGAUGCAGCGACGCCGCGUGAGCGAAGAAGUAUUUCGGUAUGUAAAGCUCUAUCAGCAGGGAAGAAACUGACGGUACCUGACUAAGAAGCACCGGCUAAAUAC
rnacentral:rRNA from 1 species